rnacentral:rRNA from 1 species
UGGGGAAUAUUGCGCAAUGGGCGAAAGCCUGACGCAGCUACGCCGCGUGUGUGACGAAGGCCCUCGGGUCGUAAAGCACUGUCGGGAGGAAAGAAGUUUGACGGUACCUCCCAAGAAAGCACCGGCUAACUCCGUGCCAGCAGCCGCGGUAAUACGGAGGGUGCAAGCGUUGCUCGGAAUCACUGGGCGUAAAGCGUGCGCAGGCGGCACGUCAAGUCGGGUGUGAAAGCCCAGGGCUCAACCCUGGAACUGCACUCGAAACUGGCGAGCUGGAGUACGAGAGAGGAAAGUGGAAUUCCUGGUGUAGAGGUGAAAUUCGUAGAUAUCAGGAGGAACACCAGUGGCGAAAGCGGCUUUCUGGCUCGAUACUGACGCUCAUGCACGAAAGCGUGGGGAGCAAACAGG